rnacentral:ncRNA from 1 species
CCCUGACAGAAUGUUCCACGUAGAACAAUCUGACACUAGCCACGACAGGAGAUACUCAUG